UACGGGAGGCAGCAGUGGGGAAUAUUGCACAAUGGGCGCAAGCCUGAUGCAGCCAUGCCGCGUGUAUGAAAAAGGCCUUCGGGUUGUAAAGUACUUUCAGUCGUGAGGAAGGUGUUAAGGUUAAUAACCUUAGCAAUUGACGUUAGCGACAGAAGAAGCACCGGCUAACUCCGUGCCAGCAGCCGCGGUAAUACGGAGGGUGCGAGCGUUAAUCGGAAUUACUGGGCGUAAAGGGCACGCAGGCGGUUAAUUAAGUUGGAUGUGAAAUCCCCGGGCUUAACCUGGGAAUGGCAUUCAAGACUGGUUAGCUAGAGUCUUGUAGAGGGGGUAGAAUUCCAUGUGUAGCGGUGAAAUGCGUAGAGAUGUGGAGGAAUACCGGUGGCGAAGGCGGCCCCUGGACAAAGACUGACGCUCAUGUGCGAAAGCAUGGGGAGCAAACGAGGAUUAGAUACC
rnacentral:rRNA from 1 species